rnacentral:rRNA from 1 species
AAGAUGGCGACCGGCGCACGGGUGAGUAACACGUAUCCAACCUGCCGAUAACUCCGGAAUAGCCUUUCGAAAGAAAGAUUAAUACCGGAUGGCAUACGAAUAUCGCAUGAUAUUUUUAUUAAAGAAUUUCGGUUAUCGAUGGGGAUGCGUUCCAUUAGUUUGUUGGCGGGGUAACAGCCCACCAAGACUACGAUGGAUAGGGGUUCUGAGAGGAAGGUCCCCCACAUUGGAACUGAGACACGGUCCAA